UCUCCGUUGGUGAACCAGCGGAGGGAUCAUUACCGAGUUCUCGCAACUCCCAAACCCCCUGUGAACCUAUACCUGAACGUUGCUUCGGCGGGUUGAAACGCCCCGGACCGCGCCCGACCUCUCCCGCUCCGGCGGGCGUUGGCGGGCAAGGCCGGACCCAGGCGCCCGCCGGAGGACCCAAACUCUCCUGUAUCUCCGCAAAGUAUCUUCUGAGUGCGGCCUCUGCCGCGAGAAAACAAAUGAAUCAAAACUUUCAACAACGGAUCUCUUGGUUCUGGCAUCGAUGAAGAACGCAGC
rnacentral:misc_RNA from 1 species